AGCGUUAUCCGGAUUUACUGGGCGUAAAGGGUGCGUAGGCGGUCUUUUAAGUCAGAAGUGAAAGGCUACGGCUUAACCGUAGUAAGCUUUUGAAACUGGAGGACUUGAGUGCAGGAGAGGAGAGUGGAAUUCCUAGUGUAGCGGUGAAAUGCGUAGAUAUUAGGAGGAACACCAGUAGCGAAGGCGGCUUUCUGGACUGUAACUGACACUGAGGCACGAAAGCAUGGGGAGC
rnacentral:rRNA from 1 species